rnacentral:rRNA from 1 species
UACGGAGGGUGCAAGCGUUGUCCGGAUUUAUUGGGUUUAAAGGGUGCGUAGGCGGUUCUUUAAGUCAGCGGUGAAAGUCCAGAGCUCAACUCUGGGAUUGCCAUUGAUACUGAAGAACUUGAGUAUAGUUGAGGUAGGCGGAAUUGACAGUGUAGCGGUGAAAUGCAUAGAUAUUGUCAAGAACACCGAUUGCGUAGGCAGCUUACUAAGCUAUAACUGACGCCGAGGCACGAAAGUGUGGGGAUCAAACAGG